AUAUUAACAGCGUCGGGGAUACCGUGAUCAAGAAGGCGGUUCCCCCAGAGCGAAACCUGAUCAUUAGGAUCUAGUAGUAGCGGGUUGACCUCUGGCGACUAUUCCUAGUGGGAUAGCUCGGGCGCAUAAUUUUUUCAUGGGGUCUCGCGUUCGCGCGGACCCCCC
rnacentral:snRNA from 1 species